rnacentral:rRNA from 1 species
AUGUGUGUCCCUAAGAAUCAAGGAGGGAUGGGUUUUCGUGAUAUUCACUGUUUCAAUUUGGCAAUGCUCGCCAAACAGGCAUGGUACCUUCUUGAGAGUCCCGAUUCCUUAUGUGCUACUAUUCUGAGGGCUAAGUACUAUCCUCAUGGCGACUUAUUGAACACUAAGUUAAAGAAGAACUCUUCUUUUACUUGGCAAAGUAUUAUGGCGGGCGUGAACUCUCUGAAACAUGGUUAUAUUUGGCGGGUGGGGAAUGGAAAAAAUAUCAAUAUUUGA